ensembl:lncRNA
GGAAGGAGAAUUCUGCUGGGGUAUUUGGGUAAGACUUUCCACCCUGAAUAAUGAGAUAUUAAGAAAAGAAAACUUCUUGAUGACCCCUUGCUUCUUGCUCAGGCCAUUAUCAUGGGAUGAUGUGAUGUUUGGAACAGAGACAGCCGUCUUGUGAACAUGAGGGCAGACAUCUCUCACUCUGAAGAUGACAGAUGAAAAGGAAGGAACGUGCCUGAGUCUUUGAUGCUACCUCAAGCUGCCCAACAAACCCCGAGACUGCCUGACAACAGGAUUUUUAUUAAGUCUCACUUCCAGGUGCUGCACAUGCCUCUGAAACAUGACUUCUGCCCUGACCAUGUCCCUGAAGCUGGACUCACCAAGGUCACCAACGGCCUCCUGGAAUUGGAUCAUGCAAUUAUGGAGACUGACAAGUCCCAGGAUCUGCAAGGUGAACGGGCAAGCUGGAGACCCAGGAGAACCAGUGGUAUCAUUCCAGUCUGAGUCCAAUAGCUUGAAAACCAACAGGACUGAUGGUGUAAUUCCAGUUGAAAGGCCAAGAAGUUCAUGACCCAGAAAGAGGGAUGUUUCAGCUUGAGUCCAAAGGAAAGAAAAAGUCGAUGUCCCAGUUCGAAGGCCAUUAAGCAGAAGGAAUUCUCUCUGACUCAGAGAAAACCAGCUGUUUUGUUUUACACAGGCUUUCAGCUGAUCAGAUGAGGCCCACCACAUUGGGAGGGCAAUCUGCUCGACUCAGUCUACCAAUAAAGCUGUUAAUCUCAUCCAGAAACACCCAGAAGAAUGUUUGACCAAAUAUCCAGGCAUCCUGUGGUCCAGUCAAGUUGACAUAUAAAAUUAAUCAUCAUGGCUUCUAAGCUUUUGGGUGGUUUGUUAGGCACCAAUAGGUGACAGAAAAAAAUGUACUCCUUAUGCAGUAAGAUACAAGACUGACCUGUAUAAUACAGACUCAAAUCUACUCCUUUAGAAUAUGAUGUGCUUUAAGAAGUGACAUUAUCACUCAUCUAGUACUCAAAUCUCAAAUCUAAGAUUAUCUAGAAUAAUAGUUUUCCUUCAUUUGCACUUGAUCACCAACAAUUUUUAAUUCUGCCUCCUAAUUAAUUUCAAGACUCUUCAAUAUCACUUCACUGCCUUUGGUAGGACAAAACUAGCACUUGAUCACCAACACUUUUUAAUUCUGCCUCCUAAUUAAUUUCAAAAGACUCUUCGAUAUCACUUUACUGCCUUUGGUAGGACAAAACUAGCAAACACCUGGUCCUGUGUUGUCAUUCCACCCUUCAGUGACCAUGGUGAACAUGGCCAAUCCAUCAAGGCUCUGUGUUCAGCUCCCCCAGGAAAGUGGCCACAUAAUUCUCCUCAACACCCCACUCCAGGCAUUUACUGCAAUUCAAUCACAGUGUGCAAGCUAUUUGCUAUCCCUGUUCUAGACCCUCCUGAUUUAUCACUUAUAUUAAGCCAAAAGCCAUUUUGCUGGUUACACCAACCUCCCCUACCAUUACCCAAAUCAAUUUGUCUUCCACCUGUUUAGAAGGAUCACCAAAUGUAUCUUUCUAAAAUGCAUUUAACAUUGUUUCGGUUGCCAACCUGUGCUCACCCUAGGCCUCAGAGGUGUCUGGGUGUGUGAAAGUUAAAUUGGUUGCAAAGAUGGCUCCGAUUCUCUGCCCUUCCCUGUUUCCAUGUCCCUUGUGAUGUGAUUUUGCAGCUCCUACCAUCAAGAGAUCAAGGCUAUUUCUUUACCCCUUGAAUCUGGGCUGGCCUGGUGACUGACUUUGAACAGUAGAAGAGACGUUGUGGAGAUUCUGACCCUGGGCCUCAAGAGGCUUUAAGCGUGUGCUCUCCCUCUUGGAACCCUCCCACUGCUAGGACAACAAACCUGAGCUUGCCCACGGGAGGAUGAGAGAUGACAUGAAAUGGAGCCACAUCUCUUAAGCUAAGCCCCUAAGACGGGUCACAGAGCACAGCCAAGCUGACCACAGUUAGAUCUGCAAGUCAUAGCCACUCAGGUGACCCAUAGACUUGAGAGGCUUUGUGGUUAUUUGCUACACAGUAUUUCAUGACAGUAUGUAAUUGAUACAAUGUUUAUAUGAAGGACCUGUGAAGCAGGCCCAUCACAGCUCUAUUUGCAUGAGAAAUUAAAGAAAUACCACAAGAGAACUCAGGCAAUGGAGUCAAGGAACCAAAUAUAAUAGCCAGUAAAUCUAUGGGUGGCUAUUGUAGGAAAACCUUUACAAGGCUCUAAGAACACAAAGGGGCACCUGCAGACCCAGCAAUGCUGGUGCCAGCACUUUCAUCACUGGUGGGAGACAAAGCCUGCAUCAGCAUCUGAGUAUCCCCAGAAUCUUCAAAGGGCAUUUGCCAGCAUCAGCAGCCUCAGCAGCUGACAUCCCUGCAGGGAACCGAAGCAGGGAAAAAUGGUAGACACCACAUCGUAGCUAAGAAGAUUGUGAUUGUGAGAACCUUUGAGAUGCCCCUCGGGGACUGCCAGAAAUAAAAGAAGGCACCUUGAAAGGUCCUGCCAAAGAAAGAAUGCUUUGUGAUAACGCUUUUGACUCUAUCUUACCCCGCAACCUGGUGUGGACUUGGGAAAAUAAUUUAUAAAAGUCUAAAAUUGUUCAAAAUCCUCCUUUGCCCUCAAAAAACUAAAACUGGUUAACACUGAAAUCCAAGCUCAUUCAUCUCUCACCUCAUGUGUAUGUAUAUCCACGCAUUCCCACACACAGUUUCCACCUGCAUCAUUUCUAUUCCUUUCUAUCUUCUCCCUACUCUCCCCACACCUCUUAGAUCUUACGGUUUCUCAUUCCCUGCCACAUCAACUCGAGAGGCGAGUUCCUCUCUCUGAAACAAAGUUGACCUCCCUAUAGGACACUCAGGAUAUUAUGCAAGGAGUAGAAGCCGCAUUUUCUUCAAGCUACAAUGUAAACAAGGCAAAGAUGGUCCCGUCCCUCCAGCAGCAGCAGUAAAAUGAAACUUGCAGUAGAAUGCAAAAAAAUGGCCACAAAUUCAUUGCAGACCCUGCCUUUAAGAGUGAAGUCUAUUUCUCCACUCCCUGAAUCUGGACUUGGCCAUGUGAUUUGCUUUGGCCAAUGGGAUGUAAGCAUACGUAAGGCAAAGAGAGGCUAGAAAAGUGCUUGCACAUUGAGGCUUGCUCUUU